UUGAUUGACUUUGGGCAGACAGAUGCAGAACUCUCUCUGUGUCAUUCUGAAGAGCUUUCUUCGCUUUCGUCCUAGCAAAGCCUGUUCAUUCUGAGAGCCUGCUGUUCAGGCCCAAAAAGCAGGAGCCGAAAAGUCUGCACUAAGGAGCUGUCUGAAAUCUCCCUUCCCUGCUCACUUCAGAGAAUGACAAGGCAGAUCUGGAUAAGAUAGCAGUGUGAAAGUCACAUUCCUUGGCUUCGGUGGUGGAAGACUUAUUAUUUGUGGGGAAAUCAAGCAAAAGCUGGCAGAGGAAGAGCAUUCAAGGAAAAGACUGAGAAAGAGAAGGUGGGAAUAAUGUGGGUGGUACAGGCAAUUUUGCUUUCUCUGCUGGCUUGCCUCCUGGUUCAUCUCAGAAAAUCAUUCCAGUCACAGAAGUUGUACCCUCCAGGGCCUCUUUGGGUUCCUUUUAUUGGAAGUGUCUGGCGAUUAAGAUUCAAAGUGUCUAAAGAUUCCUUCAUUGAGUUGGCAAAGAUUUAUGGAAAUAUAUACACUCUAUGGAUAGGGUCUAAACCUGUAGUUGUACUUUCUGGAUUCCAAGCUGUGAAAGAAGGACUUAUAAAUCAUGCAGAACACUUUGCUGAGAGAUGUGAGACCCCUUACAUUAAAGCUUUCACAAAUGGGAAGGGUAUUAUUUAUUCAAAUGGUCAUAACUGGAAGCAGCAGCGGAAGUUUGGGGUUGUUACUUUGCGAAAGCUGGGACUGGGGAAGAAAGGCAUGGAGCAACAAAUAGAAGAAGAGGCCCUUCAGCUAGCUGAGACAUUUGCACAUUCAAAAGGGCAACCAAUUGACCCUGCAUUGUUCAUCAGAAACUCAGUCGCCAAUGUGAUCUGUGCAGCAGUUUUUGGAUUCCGGUUUUCUGUUGAAGAUCAAGAUUUCCUCCAAAUGCUGGAAGCUAUUCAAUUUGUGUUAACAUUUUCAGCUAGUUUUGUUUAUGUGCUGUAUGAACUUUUCCCACGGCUCAUGGACCUUCUGCCAGGUCCUCACAAGAAGUCAUUCUUAUACAGAGAAGCUGUGCUUUCAUUUGCAAAGAAGGUGAUAGAAAAGCACAGAGAGCAUCAGGCCCUGCACGACCCACAGGAUUACAUUGAUUUCUAUCUACUUCAGAUGGAGAAAAGUGUGAAAGAUCCCAACUCGACAUACAAUGAAGAAAACCUGGCUCAGUGCAUUUUGGAACUCCUCAUGGCAGGAUCUGACACAACAUCCACCACACUACAAUGGGCUCUGCUCCUCAUGGUGAAUCAUCCUGAUAUCCAAGAGAAAGUCCACAAGGAGAUAGAAGAUGUUUUGGGUUCAUCUCAGUCAUUCAGCUAUCAACAUGUGAAGAAAUUACCCUACACCAAUGCUGUGAUUCAUGAGAUCCAGCGAACCCAAUACAUUUUAUUAUUUGGGGUCUCCAGACAAUGUGCGAAGGAUGUAAACAUGUUUGGGUAUUUCAUUCCAAAGGGGACCUAUAUAGUUCCCGAUCUUCAUUCAGUUCUUCAGGAUCCUGAACUAUGGGAGGCCUCUGAGGUGUUCAAUCCAAAUCGUUUUUUGGACAAGGAUGGAAAGUUUAUGAAGAGGGAAGCUUUCCUGCCCUUUGGCACAGGUUCUCGUUCCUGUCUGGGACAGCAGCUAGCAGAGAUAGAGCUCUUCAUCUUCUUCACCAGCCUGAUGAGGGCAUUCAAAUUCCAGCUUCCAGAAGGAGUGAAAGAACUCAGCAAAAAACCUAUAAUUGGAGUAACAACCCCUCCCUCUCCUUAUGAACUCUGUGCUGUUCCCCGCUGCAGCGCAUCAUGAACAGCAAGAAAUAGAGUAGCUUACUUCUUAUUGUUAAUUGUUCAUUCAUUAUGUUUCACUUGAUCUCCUCGAACCUGACCACACUAGUCCAUUCUAUGGUAUGUGACAUAAAGCCCUUCUGAGGGCCAAACUACAAGUGAUGAAUAACACUUGAACGGCAAGUGUAUUCCUCCCUGUUCACUUGCCCUCCACUUGCUCUCCACUCAAUCCACUUGCCAUUCAAGUGUCAUUCGUCACUUGUACUUUGGCCCUCAGUAGGUGCAGACUUUCAGAAGUUGUCACAUCGGGUCAGCUGUCUUUCUCUCUACAGUAGAGUUGUUAUGGGGUAGGGAAUUUCUUUUUCUAAAAUUCACUUUUUUGGAUAUGACUAUUGAUUCCUCUUAUUCUCUUUUAGGAGCAGGAUUUCUCUUUCAGUUCUCUUCAAAGAGAAAUCAAGGCACCUUUUUGUAACUUCAGCCCCUAAAGUUGUUUUAUGUUAUACAUCCCAGGGUGGGGCUCUGGCAGGAAGGUUAGGGAAGACAUUUCCUGCUUCUGAGCCCCUACAGAGUAAAAAUCUGAAAUUUUGCAAAACUUCCCUUCCUGCCUCUUCUCUCUUUGAAUUUUUCUUUGAUCAGAAAGGAAUUGAUUAGAAAUGGACUCCAGAUUCCUAAAAAGAAGAAAAGUAUUGCUGGAUGUCAGAGAGAAACGGGGUUAAGAGUAAUUAAAAGAAUUUCUUUUAACAGUCCUAGUCUAUGGAUUCCUUGGGGUAAUUGCUGAACUAAUCAGAGUGAAACAUACCAAGGCCACAUUAAUCCUAAUGCAAGAAGGCCAAUUCUCAGCAACCCCUUUCUUCACUGCUGACAAUACAUGUGACAGGCCAUGCUACUGUUUGGCUAAAACCAAAUCAUUUCCUGCUUGUGGUGAAAUGGCUUACACCUCAAUGACAGAGAUGCAAAUGACCCUGGCAGGAAAACACAACGGGCAGCAAGAGACUACUUUUGCUAGAUGUCCAGUUUUCCUCCAGACAGUCCAAUUUUGGGGUAGACUGUCUGGGGGAAACAAAGUUCAAAAACUGGACACUUGUGUGUACAUGCCCGGGGCAUGCUGAGAGAGUGCAUGCCCAGGGAGCAGCCAGCCCACUCAACUGCCUGACAUGCAGUGUGCCUGGGAUCAAUGGCCCACACAACCACACAACCGGCCAGCCCACGUGUCCAACUGCCCUGCUUGCUGUAUUGUGUGCACUGAGCCUCCUUGCCAGCCUGCCUGCCCACCCAACCAGCCUCUUACUCUAUGAUGAUGAUGUUAUGGAAGUGACAUCAUCAUGCUGGGGCUGGGAGUGUCUGUGCACUUCGCGAGUACAAUGAGAAAAAAAGGUAAGUGCCAGGGCCCCUGUCCAGUUGUGUGGGGAAGCCAUCUGACAAUUCUACCAGAAUCACACUUACACCAUAGUGGCACAUAAACAAAGCUUUGGGAGGUCCAAAGGCAGAGCGGCCAUUUCCUGAGGAUGGCAAGUCUGUUGGGGGAUGGGUUAAGGCAGAUAAUAAGACCUCUGAGAGUACUGAUUUCAUAGUAACAAUAAAAUUUGAUUUAUAUACCACCCUUCUGGACUAUUUAACACUCAGAGCAGUUUACAAAGUAUGUUAUUACUAGAAACAAAGCCUGUUGUGGGAAAAAAUACAAUGGGCUCUAGAAAGGGGAGAGUGGGCAGGCAGGCAUUCCCUCCUCCUCCAUCACUAAUCCCAGCCGGUGAAGGAGGGGGGUGGGCAUUGCCACCUGCUCCACACUUGAUCUCAGCAACAGGAAGGGGUGGUGGUCUUUGCUAACUGCUGCACGUCUGAUACAGGCCAGGUAAAGGGGGGUAGGCAUUGCCCCCUGCUCCACUCCUGAUUCCAACCAGGUGAAGGGAAAAUGGGCAUUGCCUUCUGCUCUGCGCCUGAUUAUGGCUGGGAGAAAGGGGGGCAGGAAUUCCUGCCUGCUCCAAGCCUGAUCCCAGCUGGAUGAAGUGGGGGCAUUGCCACCUGUUCCCUGCUGGGUGAAGGGAGGAGUGAGCACUACCUCCUGCUCCUCACCUGUUCCUGACAGGUGAAGGAGGGCGGUGGGCUUUGCUACAUGUUCCCCUCCUGAGCCCAACUGAGUGAAGGGGGUGUGGGCAUUGCCACCUUCUCUGCUCCUGAUUCCGGCAGGUUGAAGGGGGGUGGACAUUGCUGUCUGCUUGGCUCCUGAUUCUGACAGGGUGAAGAUGGGGUGGGCAUUGUUGCCUGCUCAGUGCCUUAUUCCAGUAGGUUGAAGGGGGCGAGCAUUGAAACCUGCUGCACUCCUGAUCCCAGCUGGGUGAAGGGGUAUGCAUUGCCAUCUGCUCUGCUCCUGAUCCCACUGGGGUGAAGGGGGUUGGACAUUGCCACCUUCUCUGCUCCUAAUACCAGAUGGGUUAAGGUGGAGAGUGGGCAUAGCCACCAGCUCCGCUCCUGAUCUCAGCUGGGUUAAAGUGGGGGGUGGACAUUGCCACCUGCUACACUCCUAAUGCCAGUUGUGAUAAGGAGGGGGUGGGCAUUGCCACCUGCUUCGGUCCAAAUACUAGCUGGGUUAAGGCAGGGGCAUGCAUUACCACCUGCUCUGCUCCUAAUUCCAGCUGGAUUAAGGCAGGGGCGGGCAUUGUCACCUGCUCCACUCCUAAUACCAGCUGGCUGAAGGGGGGCAGGCAUUGCCACCUCCUCUGCUUUUAAUACCAGCUGUUUUAAGGUGAGGGGGGCAUUGCCACCUUCUCCGCUCCUAAUACCAGCUGGGGCGUGUGAUAAGGAGGGAGUGGGCAUUGUCACCUGCUCUGCUUUUAAUACUGGCUGUGUUAAGGUGAGGGUGGGCAUUGCCACCUGCUCCACUCCUAAUACCAGCUGGCUGAAGGGGGCGGGCAUUGCCAUCUGCACCGGUACUAAUUCCAGCUGGGUUGAGGUGGGGGGGGCUGGCAUUGCCACCUGCUCUGCUUCUAACAACAGUUGGGUAAAGGUAGAGAGUGGGCAUUGCCACCUGCUCCGCUCAUAAUAUCAGCUAGUUUAAUGGCUUUUGACCAUGCAGGAGAUGUGGUUGUGACAUUUGCCAGUUGGAACCGAAGAAGUAAUUCCUGUGAACAAGAGGGCAGUGAAACAGGAAGGUAUCCGGAAUCCUGUUGGGAUAUCUUUACCAUUUUCUUUCAUCCCACAUUCGUGGGGACCAUCAUCCAAUUACACCAGGACUAUUGUGGUGCUUUCCGUUUAUGGACUGGUUAAUUUGUAAUUGGAGAAGAGUUGUACCAAUCUUCACAGUACCAUUGGAUGCCAAAUACCGGUGCAAUUAUUUGUUUAUGUAUCAUUGUAACUUGUUUCCUUUUGGUGUUUUUUACACUUGAUAUAAAUAGCGGUCAAAAUGUUUACUUUUUAAUACGGGGACGUUUGUCUUUUUCUGGCCACUCCUAAUACCAGCUGGCUGAAGGGGGGCUGGGCAUUGCCACCUUCUCCACUUCUAAUAACAGCUGGUUUAAGGUGGUGGUGGGCAUUGUCACCUGCUCCAUUCCUAAUACCAGCUGGCUGAAGGGGGGCUGGCAAUGCCACCUGCUCCACUUCUAAUUAACAGCUGGGUUAAGGUAAAGAGUAGACAUUGCCACCUGCUCUGCUCCUAAUAUCUGCUGGUUUAAUGCAGGGGGCGGUCAAUGCCAUCUGCACCAUUCCUAAUACCAGCUGGUUUAAGGUGUUGGCAGGCAUUGCCACCUUCUCCACUCCUAAUACCAGCUGGCUGAAGGGGGCGAGCAUUGCCAUCUGCACCGGUGCUAAUACCAGCUGGAUUAAGGUGGUGGUGGGCAUUGCCACCUGCUCCACUCCUAGCUGGCUGAAGGGGGGGGUCGGCAUUGCCCCCUACUCUGCUCCUAAUAUCAGCUGGGUUAAGGUGGGAGGUGGGCAUUGACACCUGCUCCGCUCCUGCUCCCUGCCUGGGCUUCCCACCAUGGUAUGUUUUCUGGAAUGAUAUGGUGAGUUACUUGGGCUUUCCUCUGCGACAGUGCCCUCUGGUGGUGCACCAGGGUAUAAAGUGAGUCAUCUGAAAAACACUCAAUUAUAUGGUAAGAUUAUCCCCUCAACAAAUACCCUGUGAGCUGGGGGGGGGGGGAGCUGAGAGAGCUCUGAGAGAGUUGUGACUGACCCAAGGUCACCCAGCCAGCUUCAAGUGGCGGAGUGGGGAAUCAGACCCGGUUGUCCAGAUUACAGCCCUGCUGCUCUUAACCACUACACCAAACUGGCUUCUCUUUUUGAGCUCUCUCAAACUCUGAGCUCUCUCAAGCCCUUUGUCUCUUUGCCAUUUCACCCUUGAAGGAGUAGCGGUCCAUCUAGACCCCAAGAAGUAGCCAUGAACACAUGGUUCUGUACUAACCUUUAGAUAGUGAAACGAAGCUAAUGGAUGAUUUAAGAACAUAAGAACAUAAGCAAAGCCAUGUUGGAUCAGGCCAGUGGCCCAUCCAGUCCAACAUUCUGUCACACACAGUGGCUAGAAAUCCAGUGCCAUCUAAAGGACUGUCAGUGAGGCCAGGACACCAGAAGCCCUCCCACUGCCUUCCUUCCAGCAUCAAGACAACAGAGCACCACCUCCCCACAAAGAGAAUACCAUCUAUCUCCUGUGGCUAAUAGCCACUGAUGGACCUCUGCUCCAUAUAUUUGUCCAGUCCCCUCUUGAAGCUGGCAAUGCUUGUAGCUGCCACCACCUCCUGUGGCAACGAAUUCCAUGUGUUUAUCACCCUUGGUGUAAAGUAGUAUUUUCUUCUAUCUGUUCUAACCCGACUGCUCAAUAAUUUCAUAGAGUGCCCACGAGUUCUUGUAUUGUGAGAAAGGGAGAAAAACACAUCUUUCUCUACCUUCUCUAACCCGUGCAUUAUCUUGUAAACCUCUAUCAUGUCUCCCCUCAGUCGUCUUUUCUCCAGGCUAAAGAGCCCCAAGCGCCUCAAUCUUUCCUCAUAGGGAAAGUGUUCCAACCCUUUAAUCAUUUUAGUUGCCCUUCUCUGUACUUUUUCCAGUGCUAUGAUAUCUUUUUUAAGGUGUGGCGACCAGAACUGUACACAGUACUCCAAAUGAGGCCUCACCAUCGAUUUAUACAGAGGCAUUAUGAUACCGGCUGAUUUGUUUUCAAUCCCUUUCCUAAUAACCCCUAGCAUAGCAUUAGCUUUUUUUAUGGCAGUCACACACUGUGCUGACGUUUUUAGUGAGUUAUCUAUCAUGACUCCAAGAUCUCUCUCUUGGUCAGUCUCCGCCAGUUCAGACCCCAUCAACUUGUAUUUAUAUUUUGGAUUUUUGGUUCCAAUGUGCAUUACUUUGCACUUGGCUACAUUGAACCUCAUUUCUAAAUGCUUAUAACUCCAAGAAUUAUAGUGCCUACCUUUUAUUACCAUCUUUUGGGGUACAUUAAUGUUUUAGAGGACUGUUUUAUUCAGAUUUCUUUUUAUCUUUGCAAAGCCUGAUGUAUUUGCAGAUGUGUGCUUUUUAUUUUCUUAUUUAUAACUCUUCAUUUUUAAUUAUUUCCAUCUGCAACCCAUGUUAAGCCCCCAUUCAGUCUGCAUAUAUGAGGCAAAGAAAAGGGAGGAUGCAGCAGUUUAACCAUUCUUCCCUAAGCAUCUAAGCAUGUUGGUCAGUAGUUAGUGUAACAUGAGAGAGAGAUACAAAUACUGAGCUAAGGCUUCAAUUGCAAAAGCAACAGCAGAUGCCUGAGCACAAAACUGAUAAAUAAAUCGUUAUAUAGGCCCCAGAAACCUAGUUAAAGGAUUCCAUGUUUGGGCAGAGUCUAUCAUGUGGCAUACACUUGGUUUAUAUUUAGGAAAGAAAUAAGAGUUCUUUAUUGCAGGAACUCCAUACUCUGAUAGGAAAGGAGGAGAGACGGAUUCCUAACUACCUAUCUAGUCUAAGGAUGGACAUGGAUGGGAGGGCAAGGCCUGCAUCCAUGCAGCCAAGAUGGAGGGAGGAGAAGGAGAGAGGUGUUGCCUGGAACAAAGCCAGGAAGAGAAGGAGGGAAAGGAAGAAAGUCAGGAGGAGGAAAUCCUGAGAGUAGAAAUCUGUAUAUUAAAGGACAGUCUGAGCAGUAAACAGUAAACAAAGUGCCCUGACCUCUCUUUCUAACUCUGUGGUUUGUCCCCCUCUGAAACCUGAGGUGAGGGACAACAAAAACUUCAUGCCGAAACCCUAAAAGGAAAAUUGGUCAGCUGUUGGUAGCAAAAGUACUGGGGUGGAGAGGAGUGUAGGUAGAGAAACCUUACUAGGCAAGAGAUCUAGGAUGGCCAUUCAUUCAUUCAUUCAUUCAUUCAUUCAUUCAUUCAUUCAUUCAUUCAUUCAUUUAUUUAUUACAUUUUUAGUUCACCCUUCCCACUCUCUGCUGCUACCACCCCACUCAUGGGCAAAAGCAAUAGCUGCCCCCAUGCACACAUUAUCUGUAGUGACUCCUGCGGUAUAGAAUAUCCUGCCUGAAGAGGCUAGGAAUGUUUCCACUCUCCUGGUUUUCCACAAACUAUGCAAAACUGAUUUAUCCAGGCGGACUUUUUUACACAGGUAGUGAGGGAGUGCUAUGAGGUAAUGGCUCAGGGAAUCAGCGAAUUAUGUCAAUACUAAUUAGGUAUGUUUGUUGAUACAGAUAUGUUCCUGUUCGGUAGUUUCUAAUAUGCCCUUCAAAUUGCUUAUAUUUUCUCUCCGCUUUGUUUCAGCUCUGUGCUGGUUUUAUGCUUGUCUUGAAAUUUUUGCAAAUUCCAUCAUCUACUGUCUUGCUUUAUUGAAUAUCCUAAUCAUUGACCAUGUUGUCUCACACUUGAGUCAAUGUAGGGGGGGGGGAAUUGACAAAGCCUUCUGAUCUCUUUUAAAACUCAGCUUCCUGGCUAACUUUGCAACUCCCUUCAUGUGCUUGUUCUCAUGUAAUUCGUCUCUUGUAGCUUAGCUCACCGUGAGUAAGGUGGGAUAUAAAUAAAACAAACAAACAAAUAAAAGAUCUUCACUUAAGAACUUGUCUCAAUUUCUUUUCAGUAGCAUUUCAUAGCAGCCAGGCAUUUAUAUAGCCUUGACUCACAACAGAAAAUUCAUAGAAAGGUAAACUGUUAGGGAAUUUUGGGGUAGCCCCAUGAUUUUCAAUCGAGGUUGGCCAAAGCCUGUGAGAAAAUUCUUCUUACACCCUAUGUUUUGCAUUUCUGUUACUGCAACUGUUUCUAUAACAUUGUUUCUGCAAUUGUUUCUAUAACACAGAGGCCAUGAAAAAGGACACGACGAGUUUGCUUCCACUAUACACUGAAAGUUAAAAAUUGUUUAUAUCUAAAAAUAUUCAUCUCCAGCCUUGAGUAUCUUUUCCCAGUUAUAUUUUGAAAUUAACCGUGCCAGCCAAGAACGUUAUUCUUGCUGUGUUCCUUUUAAUUUCUGGCUAUGACCUGUUAAUCUACACUGUUCAGAAGAUCAUCUACUUGAUUUUUUGUAAGAACUGGCUGUUUGUUUACAGAACUGUAUAUGAUCUUAUAAACUGUAUACAAUUUUUUUCUGUUGAUUUAAAGAUAUAAAAUACAGAGCUGUAUGUAUGUAUUCAGUUACCAAAUUGACGGCAUCAAGGCUUAUUGCUAAAUAAACCUUUUACUUCCAUGAACAUCAAGUUUAGAUGCCUUGAGUUGUUUCUCAGGGCCAAGCUACACAUGAUGAAUGACACUUGAAUGGCAAGUGGAUUGAGUGGAGGGCAAGUGAACAGGGAGAAAUACACUUGCCAUUCAAGUGUCAUUCGUCAUGUGUAGCUUGGCCCUCAGACUAGUAGUGAAGUGGAGAAAUCUAAAAUUAAGUCACCAUAUUCUUCAUGAGAGAAAAACUGUCAAAUCCAAGUCAUCAAGCAUCAGUUAAAGUCCAAUUAGUCAACUUACAUCUUGUGACUGACCAAACAGUAACUACACUUGAAAAAGUAAAGCCUUCUUUGGUGUCCAUAGGUUGGAGAGAAAGAGCAUACAUAUUUCACACAAUGAGUUCUUUAAAGGUACAGUCCGUGUAAAUUCCUAUGCUUAUACUUGUUGUACUUGUUCUUUUUACAGGUUCAGCUAACUCUACCAGAGCCUCCCACCGGAACAGCGGUAGGUAGUGAUCUCAGAUAUUUUUAACAUCCACUAAUCUGUGUUUUCUGUUUUGUUUCAGAUAUUCACUCUGUCCGUGGGACACCGCCGGCCGUGGCAUUGCCCAACAGACUGCUAGUCCCGCCUGUUUCACACUUUGUGCUUUUUCAAGGACUGAUGUUAGUACAUCUAAACAAGAAACAUGUUCAUAACAAACACACAACAAACAUUGCAGGACAUGUGUGGUUGUGUGGUUGAACAUUGAAGAUUGAGGAUUGCAAUUCUACCUCUAUUUAUUGGAUUAUUGAAUAGACUUUUUGAUAUUCUGUAUUUAUGGUGUUUAUGAAUUGAGAAUCUUUGUUUGGCUAUUAGCGUUUUCUCCCAAGGGAGCCUCUUUGGCUUGAGUACAGGUGUCUGAAGUCUCCUCCUGCUGCUGUAGAAUGGUGGUUAAGUGGUUGGGAUGUGAAUCAGCACCUUGCUGGUUCAAAUCCCACUAUUGCCAUGAGCUCUGCAAGUGGCCUUGAGUCAGCCACUCCUCUCAGCUCCAGCUCCCCUGCUACAUUCUGGGGAUAAUAACUGUCAGGUUCAGAAUGCUUCCCUGUAUGUUGUAACCAAAGAGACUCCAUUUUAAUUCUUUUAGUGUUCUGAGUGCUUUCUUCACAGGUGCCAAGAUGUUCCCUAGCAGCUAUCUCUUAGAAGAGGAAUGUUUUGACUACAGCUUUUCCAGCCCUGGGAAACUUUCACUUUCUCAGCUUCAAAGGGAUUGUUUUGAGAACUAUGGGGGGAGGCUGGGCCUACUAGGUCUUGAUACUUUGUACUUUAUUCUUUGCCUUUCAUUCAUAACAAUACACGUGUACAAGCCUGGAUAUUGCAUCUGGGCCAGUGGACUAUAAUGGUUGCUUUUUUCAGUAAAUCUUUUGAAAACAACGGAUUCUUGUCUGAUUGCAGAAGGUAGUCUGGAUACAACUAUUAUUUAGCCACAGAUCGGACAUUUUGUUAUGAAUCACAUCUGUUCCAAUGCCUAAGCCGGGGAAGCCGGAUACCAAAGCCGUUCCUGACAGGGACCCUUUGUUCGAUCCCUAUGCCUCCCCCGGUUCGGAAGGACUGGAACCUCAAGGACCCGUUCAAAGGGGAACAGGGUCUUCUGUUACUACGAUAUAUACCCUCGCUCCUAGCAGAAUGGAUACUCGACCCACAGCAGCAGCUGACCCACUGAUAUCCUUACCAACGCUGACACAGUGGGGACUGAGGCCUAGAGACGCGAGGGAAAGGAGAGCGAGUACUGUGUUCAUGCAACCCCCGAUGGAAGGCCGACGGAACUUGGGUGUGAUUGCAGAGCAUUCCAGUAGCCAACCUUGGUAUUAUUGGAACCGUGAGGCCGACCAGUUGGAGUGGGAUCGAAGAGGUUCAGAGAGUACCCAAACGUAGGAAACGUCCCGCUGCGAUGUGAUGAGUUGGGACUAUGCGGAAGUCGCUCUGUGGAUGGGACAACAAGAUUCGAGUGAGCACACGUGGAUACAAUUACAGAGCCGAACCACAGCAGUAGAUGCCGGAAUUUCGGCGGUCACAGGAUUAGCGAAAGGAAUCCUGGCGGGGAGAUCACAUGAAGAGCAAGGUACUGGCGCCCAGGGCAUGGGAGAAAUAAGACCUUGGCCCGGAGCAGCCUAUGCAGAAUACUUAGAGACUACGCAAGUCCCUAAUGAAACUCCCCAGAAGUAUGCUGAAACCGAGACCACGGCGGUGGACUCGAAUAGGGUACAGGUCCUAGAGGAGAGACUGUCUAGUAUGGAACAGAGUCUGGCCCAUGCAAUCCAUUUGCUCUCCGUGUUGGUGGUUGGAGGAUCAGAUGGGAGCCAAGAGAUGGCCUCAGGCGUACAGAGUAUCAGUCAGAGCUUGUCAACUUUACAAAGAAUCAUUCCGCGGACAGAAACCGUGGUACAAGAUCAGCAACUCCCAUUAGCUGACGAUUCGUAACAACCUGUACAGCCACUGAACCCCACACCAGGGCCAGUUGAUGAGAAGUCGAACGACACCGAAGAAGAAGAAGAAGAAGAAGAAGAAGUAGAGGAAGUAGCAGGAGGAGGGGGACAACCACGAGAGGAGCUGAUGGGAACUCCGCCGCAUCCCAGGGGUACCCUGCAACACCCACAGGGGGAAGCUCCGGUCCUUACGCCUACACCAAUUCUGCCGCAAGGACAACCAGCUACCUCCCCGACCACGACCGUACAGCAAGGACAGCUGUUCCUGCCGAGACUUGUGGCACCGAUUGCACGGGGCACCACUCCUCGGCAAUACCCGCUGAUGGGAUCGAUAGGACGGGGCACCACACCCCGGCCACUACUGCAACCGGGACUGAGGGGACCCCCUCCCCCAAUACAACCUGUUCCGAGAGGACCUCCUCCACCGCUACAACCAGUUCCGAGGGGACCUCCACCGCCACUACAGCCAGUGCCGAGAGGACCCCCUCUGCCAGCCCAACCAGUACCGAGGGGACCUCCUCCGCCAGUUCAGCCAGUGCCGAUAGGACCCCCUCCUCCAUUACAACCUCAACCAAGACCCCAGCAACCUCCAAUGCAACCUCCUCCAGUACAACCUCAUCUGCAGUACCCAGAUGGGAGACCUCAACAAGUGCCUAUAGAAUAUUACCCACUGCCUGUGCCGGUCGCCGGACCCCAGGAAUUGCCGAUGAGGUGGGUAAAACUGGAAGCCACGUUUGACGGAGACCCUUCCAAAUUAGGAUUUUUCCUAGUACAAGCUUUACAAUUCUUUAAUCGUUGGGGACAUUUGUUCGGAGAUGAAGCCAGCCAGAUCGAACACUUGGGGUCUCGCCUACAAGGAAAAGCAGCAGAAUGGUAUGUAGCCCUGUUCUAUUCAAACAGGGCAUGAAUCCCAGACUAUUGGACAGAGCCCUUAUGCAAGAUAAUCCCCCCACACUCUUGGGGUGGAUUCAAUUAGCUUGUGAAGUGGAAAAUCGUAUGCAAGAAGUACACUUGGUCGAAUAGCAACAAACCGCUGGGUACCGGCGCUCAUCUGUACUUGUGAGAAGGAGCAGGGGUGCUGGAUAUGCAACGAGAGAAGCGAGAGAUGCUAGAUGGCAACAAGGAUUGUGUCUACAGUGUAGCCAAAGCGGUCACUUUGCGGCGCAAUGUCCGUUCCGGCCUGUGCAAAGAAAUCCGUUCCUACCAAGGCAUCCAGCCCCCACCUCUCAGCCCGCGCCAACCCGCCCAACACCCGCUCCCAGAGCGUCGAGAGGCAGAGGGACUUUCCGCAGAAAUCCUCCCGAAAAAGGCUUAGAGCUUGAAGAAAUUAUGGACUAUGAUUCAACAGCUCUAAUCGGUGAGGAAAACCCCAAAAGUCCUGCCUUGGGAAACGAGAUGGAUCUGUCGUAAAAGGACCCAAGCGGCAGAUCAAAAAUCAGUCGGUUCCAAUUCCGGAAAGACCUCAUGGGUCCAUACUAUUCAUACCAGUAACAUUAGUUAGUCCAGAAAGAAAAACACAUAUUCGUGUGCAAGCCCUCAUAGACUCGGGCUGCUCUAGAGACAUUAUUGCACCAGCCUUAGUAAAUGGAUUAGUACUCCCUGUAAAAGAACUGAAAACUCCAGUCAUUUUUGAGCAAAUGGAUGGCACUAAUAUGAAUCCUGUCACUACCGAAACUAUACCUGUCAUUACAGGUAUGGGACAACAUUGGGAGACGAGAUCAUUCGUAAUAAUAAGUACUACAGCAAAGUACCCUUUAAUCUUGGGAAGCAGAUGGUUGUGGGAUCACAACCCCUAUAUAGACUGGACAGUAGGAAGCAUUACCUUUUCCCAUGAUAAAUGUGAAAAUCAUCGUUGGAAUCAAAACUGGGGUAACAACCCUACCCUCAUUGAACAAGCCCUGUUAACUCAAGAGGAACUUAACCAAAUACCUAAACAGUACAGAGCCUAUGUCCAAGCCUUCACCGAAGAAAAAGCCAACUCCUUACCUCCCCACCGGAGGACGGACUGUGCCGUGGAAAUUUUACCAGCUGCAUCUUUACCCAAAGGCAGACUGUAUCCCAUGAGCCCAAAUGAGCGGGAGGAACUCCGCAAAUUCAUUGACACUAAUCUUCAAAGAGGAUUCAUCCAACCCGCAAAUAGCCCGCAUGCUGCUCCAGUGCUAUUUGACAAAAAAAAGGAUGGGGGAUUGAUACUUUGCACAGACUUUAGAGGACUUAAUGCAGUCUCCUCCAGCAACGCCUACCCCAUCCCACUCAUCCGGGAUCUACUCAACGUCGUGGCACAAGGGGGACAAGAUCGUGAUCGUGGGGAGGGAGGCUUUGGGUCCACGGACCAGGCUCAAGCAACACUGGUGGGUCUUACAGCAUCCAUUUCCAGAGCUCGCCCACAACAGCGUUUCUUUCUUAACGGCCGCUCUUUCUCAGGUAUUCUUGACACUGGGGCUGAUGUUACUGUAAUUUGUGCACAACAGUGGCCUCCAGAGUGGCCACUAGAAGACUGUCCAACUGUUUGGGGGGUUGGAGGACAGCAGAAAGCACGGCAGAGUGUUAAUUUUGUCCAAGUUUCUCUACCUGGUUCAGCACAGACUGUGCCUCUCCGUCCAUUUGUUCUUCCAGUCCAUGUGAACUUGUGGGGCAGGGAUUUGUUGUCCCAGCUACAAGCUUCUCUCUCUUUUGCAGAAUAAGGUUCUAUGGCCAUUCCACUUACUUGGUUAACUGAUGAACCUGUUUGGGUUGAUCAAUGGCCACUUCCUCAGGAUAAACUUAAUGCAUUGCAUGAUUUAGUGCAGGAACAGCUGCAAGCUCAGCAUGUGGAGCCCUCCACUAGUCCAUGGAAUACUCCUGUUUUUGUUAUUAAGAAAAAAAAAUGAUUUCAAUCACCUCCUGUGUAAUUCUGUGCAAGUUUCAGACUGUUCUUGCAAACUUUGUGGGAGAUGUCUUUUUUCAGUUACCUAAAGAUAAUAGUUUCUCUCUCCUACAAUCAAGUGCCUGUUUUCCUAAGCCGCAGCCGCCACAGUUUUUUUUCUAACAGUAGCCGCUCCAAAGAAGUUAUGUUUUUCAGACCAAAGGUCACUGAAUUACUAAAUAUUCUCUUCAAGUUCAUCUCUAACUCACAUUAUGUUUAUAAACUAAUCAGCUGUCUUCCUGGUGCUUAUUUAGCACCCCCUAUCAAUUCUAAUCUUAUGACUCUGUUUCUACACUUCUUUCACUGUUAUAAGUGACAUUCUGUCUUAAAAAUCUUCUGCCUUGUAGGAUCAAUAGAAAUCCUGGUAUCAAAGUACCUUCUUUGGUUUGAUUGGUUGUCUGUUCGUUAAUUAUUCACAUUAUUUCUAGUCUGUCUUUCUCACUGAGACUCCAAGUGAAUUACAGCAUGGGUCUAACCAAAGCUAACCCUGCCUAGUUUUAAGAAUUAGCAAGUGUUUACUUUCAGUCAAAAGAAAUAAAAGUUCAACUGUUUGUGUUACUUAUUUGCAUGUAACCACUUAAGUUUUCUAGUGAGGAUUCCCACCAUGGAAAGGGGAGUCUCUAUUCUUCAUGAAAUAGACUUAGAAUUCUCUAUUAGACCACUCCUCAGAGGAGAAAAACUGCAUUUCAUGUUCUUUCCCAUCUCCUGGGAUAUAACACUGACAGUUACUCUGGGAUAUCACAAAAUUAAAUGUUUAUUUUUCAAGAAGCAUAUUGGUUUCAUAAAAGUAGUUCUUAGUUCUUAAAGUUACUUCAUCCAAACUCAUUCACACACAUCACUUAUAAGGUUUUACACACAGCUAUCCUCUCUGACUCUUAUUCACAGAUAGCAUUUCUCUCAUCACCACUUCAACAUAUUCAGGCAGCGCACAGCCAGCCUGCUUUCUUCUCACCCCCCCUCUCCCCCUCACUUCCACAAACAAAGCUAAGUUAGUGAACAUUCCUGAGGUGGGAGAUGCUUGACUCUCAGCUUGCCAGCCACUCUUUCCAAGCGGCUCAGAAAUUGUUCUUACUCAAAAAAUCCCUUACAAUUCUACAGGUCAGGCAAUUGUACAACAUGCCAAUCGCUCUAUUAAAACCCUCCUCUCUAAACAAAUAAAACAAGGGGGGAGGAGGGUCCCAACUACCAAUGCUGGGAAUGACUAUGCAGCAAAUUCAUAAAUGUUUGUUAAAUGUUUGUUCAUGUACAAUCAGCUCAAUUUUGCACAGCCACAAGCUGCUGCCUCUUCACCUACCUCUGCCUUUGAUAGACAUUUCUGGCAGAAACCAGAGUUACCUACUCUGCAGGUAUACUAUCGAAGCCUGCUAGAUAAGACCUGGCUGGGGCCAGUCCCCCUGUUAACGUGGGGAAAAGGGUGUGUUUCUGUUUUAUCCACAGGUCCUUGCCCUACCAGCCAGCUUACGCCAACCCGAGAUGGAAAAAAGUCAGCCUGGAACAAGUUCAGAUGGAAAAAGUUUCAAACUGCAAAUUCACUUAUCAUUCCUUGUGUGCCGUGCUGUUUUCUUCCUUGCAACUUAAUGUCUCACAACUUUUGCCUUGAGGAGUCUGCGGAUUAAUUGCUCCUCUGUUGAAAAGUGCUAUGCUAGAUUCCAGCUGUGACUCUACAGUGAAUCUCCUAAGUGAUGAGAGGCCUUGUCCCUUGCAGCCUCUCUAUGUUGGUCUUCCAGUGCUCACCAUUGUGAACCAUCAAACUCUUAGCAAAAUAGCUUGCAGCCUGACUAAGACAAUGAAUGCAACUUCUAUUGUAAUUGCUACCCUAAAUGCUGAACUCGUAGAGCUCAGACGUGCUGCUUUGGACAAUCAUGCUGCCCUCUUUGUGGACAUUACUGCAAAUUCUACACUCAUUCUGUGUGUGCUUCUCUGUUCUUUGCCAAUGACUGUACACACUGACACCCAGCCUCUGCAGGACUAUCUUCAAUACAAUUUGUGGAAACGGCUUGCUGCACAAGUGAAUAGUUCCAACUUUUGUUUAAAGCAGACAAACGACAUGAACUUAUUACUAGUUUCUUGCAUUAUUCCUGUGUGUACCCUUAUUGCCUUGCUUUUGAAUGAUACAUCUUUAAACAGUAGUAACAUGAAAUAUACUCAAAUGUAUGAUUGGGGUCCAACAAUGCCCCGACUUCCAUUGUUUGCAAUGUCUCUUUACACUCCUUAUGUAGCUUCCAAUUCCUCAGCAAAUCAAACUGUCUGCGCUCAAAUAGUAAACUGCACCAAGCACAAAUCCAAACCUCACUGUCUUUCUGUAGGACCAAAUGUUCUUAAUUGUUCAAAAACAGAAAAUGUUUCUUUUGCCUUUGCAUAUACUCAGUUACCUCCAGGUUGGUUCUUUACCUGUGGCUCAAGAACUUUUAAUUACAUACCUGCUAAUUUGUCUGACUCUCUCUGCUGUUUAAGUCGUUUAACUAUUGCUUUGCCUUCAAAAGCCAUGUUUACUGCUUCUCGUGAGCAUCGUUCAGUCAACCUUGAUGCUACAUGCUCUGAGGAAACUGCUCUUGUUAAUAAAGCUGAAGCUGUUUCUUUAGGGGCCUCGCUUAUAGGGGUUCCAGCUCUUGCUAUACUUAAUGCUAACAAUUUAAGGCACUUAGCUUGCAAUUUAGCAAAAACUAUUAAUGCCACUUCUAUAGCCUUAGCAGCAUUGAAUUCUGAGCAACAAGAACUUCGCAAUGCUGUUUUAGAUAACAGAGCAGCAAUAGAUUAUUUCCUCUUGCUAAAUCAUCAUGGGUGUGAAUCUGUAAAAAAUAUGUGUUGUUUUAAUUUGUCUGAUAAUUCAAAAACUGUAAGCAAGCAACCGCAACAACUAUCUCACGUACAAACUUCCAUAAAAGAAGAUGUUUACCCUCCUGGUGGAAAGCUGUGUGGGGCUGGCUGCCAAAUGGCUUAUUGGGAAUCUUAGUACAAUAUGGUACAUGUGCUCUGAUAGUGCUUAUUGUAAGUUGUUGUUGUAUUCAAUGCAUUCCAUCCCUUAUUGCUUUAAUAAUUCCAAAACCACAUCCUGCUGCAUAUUCAGUUACCACUUCAAUAUCUAGUUACCCAGCCUCUUGGUUUACAUCCUCUGAUGAUGAUGAGGAUGAGGAAGAAUGCUCUUGGAAUGAUGCAGAGAAUGGCCCUUUGUUGCCACUUUAAUUAAAUAAAUAAAACAGAGUGAAAAUGUGGGCCGGAGUAGGCAUGCCACACAGCCUCCAUUAAUUGCUCUUUUACAUUUCUACGUUCCUGAUCUCCUGGUCAGUUGGCAUGCCACACGGGAAGACUCAGGGAGUAGUUUAAAUGUGUAACAAUAAGUCUCUCACCAUUCACAGAGCACAAUACUCUCAUACACUCUAAGUAACAUUCUUCUAUGCUCAGAAGCUCAUGAUGUACCUUUCAUUCUGUUAUGCUUCCUAGAUAAGACAAAAGUCUGAACACAGCAAUAUUGUGCUUCGUUGGCUGAGAAUGGAAUGUGUAACUUGUAACUGUUGUAAUAGCCAUAUUUGGGCAUCCGGGAGUUCCUGAAUACAAGUUAAUAAAACUCUCGCCUCCAUUUUGGAGGGGCAGACUUUGCAUCCAGA